AGCAGCCGCGGUAAUUCCAGCUCCAAUAGCGUAUAUUAAAGUUGUUGCAGUUAAAAAGCUCGUAGUUGAAUUUCGGGAUUGGCGCAUCGGUCGUGCCUCACGGGGUAUGAACUGGUGCAGUCAAUUUCUCACCUUCUGGAGAACCGCGAUGUCCUUAAUUGGAUGCCGCGGGGAACCAGGACCUUUACUUUGAAAAAAUUAGAGUGUUUAAAGCAGGCAUUUUUGCUUGAAUACAUUAGCAUGGAAUAAUAAAAUAGGACGGCAUAGUUCUAUUUUGUUGGUUUCUAGGACCACCGUAAUGAUUAAUAGGGAUAGUUGGGGGCAUUAGUAUUCAAUUGUCAGAGGUGAAAUUCUUGGAUUUAUUGAAGACUAACUACUGCGAAAGCAUUUGCCAAGGAUGUUUUCAUUAAUCAAGAACGAAAGUUAGGGGAUCGAAGACGAUCAGAUACCGUCGUAGUCUUAACCAUAAACUAUGCCGACUAGGAAUCAGACGAUGUUAAUUUUUUAAUGACUCGUUUGG
rnacentral:misc_RNA from 1 species